AGAACGAACGCUGGCGGCAUGCCUAAUACAUGCAAGUCGAACGAGAUCCUUCGGGGUCUAGUGGCGCACGGGUGCGUAACGCGUGGGAAUCUACCCUUGGGUUCGGAAUAACAGUUGGAAACGACUGCUAAUACCGGAUGAUGACGAAAGUCCAAAGAUUUAUCGCCCAGGGAUGAGCCCGCGUAGGAUUAGCUAGUUGGUGAGGUAAAGGCUCACCAAGGCUACGAUCCUUAGCUGGUCUGAGAGGAUGAUCAGCCACACUGGGACUGAGACACGGCCCAGACUCCUACGGGAGGCAGCAGUAGGAAUAUGGACAAGUGGGGGCAACCUGAUCCAGCAAUGCCGCGUGAGUGAGUGGAAGGUCCGUUAGGGUUAGUAAGUCUUCUUUACCCGAG
rnacentral:rRNA from 1 species